rnacentral:rRNA from 1 species
CCUACGGGAGGCAGCAGUGGGGAAUAUUGCGCAAUGGGCGAAAGCCUGACGCAGCGACGCCGCGUGAGGGAUGAAGGUCUUCGGAUUGUAAACCUCUGUCAGCAGGGAAGAACGGUCACUGUGCUAAUCAGCAGUGAAUUGACGGUACCUGCAAAGGAAGCACCGGCUAACUCCGUGCCAGCAGCCGCGGUAAUACGGAGGGUGCGAGAGUUAAUCGGAAUUACUGGGCGUAAAGCGCUCGUAGGCGGUAUGUCAAGUCAAGGGUGAAAUCCCCGCGCUCAACGUGGGAACUGCCUUUGAAACUGGCAAACUGGAGUGUGUGAGAGGAUAGUGGAAUUCCAGGUGUAGGAGUGAAAUGCGUAGAUAUCUGGAGGAACAUCAGUGGCGAAGGCGACUAUCUGGCACAUAACUGACGCUGAGGAGCGAAAGCGUGGGUAGCAAACAGGAUUAGAUACCCGGGUAGUC